GAUGGACGCUGGCGGCGUGCCUAAUACAUGCAAGUCGAGCGAAUGGAUUAAGAGCUUGCUCUUAUGAAGUUAGCGGCGGACGGGUGAGUAACACGUGGGUAACUUGCCCAUAAGACUGGGAUAACUCCGGGAAACCGGGGCUAAUACCGGAUAACAUUUUGAACCGCAUGGUUCGAAAUUGAAAGGCGGCUUCGGCUGUCACUUAUGGAUGGACCCGCGUCGCAUUAGCUAGUUGGUGAGGUAACGGCUCACCAAGGCAACGAUGCGUAGCCGACCUGAGAGGGUGAUCGGCCACACUGGGACUGAGACACGGCCCAGACUCCUACGGGAGGCAGCAGUAGGGAAUCUUCCGCAAUGGACGAAAGUCUGACGGAGCAACGCCGCGUGAGUGAUGAAGGCUUUCGGGUCGUAAAACUCUGUUGUUAGGGAAGAACAAGUGCUAGUUGAAUAAGCUGGCACCUUGACGGUACCUAACCAGAAAGCCACGGCUAACUACGUGCCAGCCGCCGCCGUAA
rnacentral:rRNA from 1 species